AUUUUAGCUAAUAGCCAACAAGCAACCAUAACCACUUUCCUCAGGGGAAAAACUACCAUUCAACAGACGUUAACUUCGGGUGGAAGCGGUGGCUUCCCUGUGUUAUGAUCGGAACACACACUGCUUCACCUGUUGUCUUAGAGGAGCCUCCUCUGGUAUGCAGGUGUCUUCAGUUUGCACUCAGCCCGGAAUCAGUACCUGGAUGAUGUUCUGCGCUGACUGCGUCCCUCGUUUUUGGUGGAGCACUGCCUCUAUCAAGUGGUGAUAAGAAGAUGUGUGACACAUUGCCAUUGUGUGCCUGGGAUCGAUGAGAGAAGUACUGUCUGCGGUAAACGCUGUCCUUGUUUCACCCAAGCUCAUGUCUGGACAAGGGCCACAGCGGGUCGCUGAAUGAGGAAGAGCUGUCCCAGUACGGUACCACCCUGGCUUUAACCAGUCUGGCCAUUCUCCUCUGACGUCUCUCAACAAGCCGUUUUUGUCUGCAGAACGGCUGCUCGCUGGAUUUUUUUUGUUUGUUUUUUGCACCAUUCUCAAACCACCCUGUCUGUCACCA